AUUGAACGCUGGCGGCAGGCUUAACACAUGCAAGUCGAGCGGUAACAGAGAGUAGCUUGCUACUUUGCUGACGAGCGGCGGACGGGUGAGUAACGCGUAGAAAUCUGCCUGAUAGUGGGGGAUAGCCCAGAGAAAUUUGGAUUAAUACCGCAUACGCCCUACGGGGGAAAGAAGGGGACCUUCGGGCCUUUUGCUAUCAGAUGAGUCUGCGUCGGAUUAGCUAGUUGGUGAGGUAAUGGCUCACCAAGGCGACGAUCCGUAGCUGGUCUGAGAGGAUGAUCAGCCACACUGGGACUGAGACACGGCCCAGACUCCUACGGGAGGCAGCAGUGGGGAAUAUUGCACAAUGGGCGCAAGCCUGAUGCAGCCAUGCCGCGUGUGUGAAGAAGGCCUUAGGGUUGUAAAGCACUUUCAGCAGUGAGGAAAGGUUGUAACUUAAUACGUUGCAGCUGUGACGUUAACUGCAGAAGAAGGACCGGCUAACUCCGUGCCAGCAGCCGCGGUAAUACGGAGGGUCCGAGCGUUAAUCGGAAUUACUGGGCGUAAAGCGCGCGUAGGCGGA
rnacentral:rRNA from 1 species